AUAUAUUGAAGCCAAGUAUGCUAAUUAAAAUUGAAGUUAUCGGAAGUAAACUUAGAGUGGGAGGACAAUCGUUUUAGAAUAUUAAGGAACUUUACAAAAAAAAUGCAAAGCAACGUGCAUGAACAAAUUAUGUUACUGUAAAAAAAAAUAUGACGUUCUUUGUGGAAGUCAGUGUCACCUUGAGUACCAAAAUAGGAAUCACGGAUAUAAAAAUAAACACAUAUUUAAUUUCAAUUGUUCGCUUAAUCAUUUCAUCCAUAUACAUGUAAUAAAAUCAAUUUGUAUAACUAAAAAUAAUGAUUUUGAUAAAUAUUUGUUUAAAUUUAACCAAUAUGAUCCCAAAACAUCAGCUGGACCGUACGCGUAUACUCAUACGGUCCGACCGUAC
rnacentral:lncRNA from 1 species